rnacentral:rRNA from 1 species
AAUACUAGAGUUUGAUCCUGGCUCAGGAUGAACGCUGGCGGCGUGCCUAAUACAUGCAAGUCGAGCGAAUGGAUUAAGAGCUUGCUCUUAUGAAGUUAGCGGCGGACGGGUGAGUAACACGUGGGUAACCUGCCCAUAAGACUGGGAUAACUCCGGGAAACCGGGGCUAAUACCGGAUAACAUUUUGAACUGCAUGGUUCGAAAUUGAAAGGCGGCUUCGGCUGUCACUUAUGGAUGGACCCGCGUCGCAUUAGCUAGUUGGUGAGGUAACGGCUCACCAAGGCAACGAUGCGUAGCCGACCUGAGAGGGUGAUCGGCCACACUGGGACUGAGACACGGCCCAGACUCCUACGGGAGGCAGCAGUAGGGAAUCUUCCGCAAUGGACGAAAGUCUGACGGAGCAACGCCGCGUGAGUGAUGAAGGCUUUCGGGUCGUAAAACUCUGUUGUUAGGGAAGAACAAGUGCUAGUUGAAUAAGCUGGCACCUUGACGGUACCUAACCAGAAAGCCACGGCUAACUACGUGCCAGCAGCCGCGGUAAUACGUAGGUGGCAAGCGUUAUCCGGAAUUAUUGGGCGUAAAGCGCGCGCAGGUGGUUUCUUAAGUCUGAUGUGAAAGCCCACGGCUCAACCGUGGAGGGUCAUUGGAAACUGGGAGACUUGAGUGCAGAAGAGGAAAGUGGAAUUCCAUGUGUAGCGGUGAAAUGCGUAGAGAUAUGGAGGAACACCAGUGGCGAAGGCGACUUUCUGGUCUGUAACUGACACUGAGGCGCGAAAGCGUGGGGAGCAAACAGGAUUAGAUACCCUGUUAGUCCACGCCGUAAACGAUGAGUGCUAAGUGUUGAACGGUUUCCGCCUUUUAUGCUG